UGAUUACAAAAAAAUUUCCUCAGAACAGUUCCUUUACGGUAAUGGAACUUAGCCCGUUGGUAUUUUUCAAUGAUGAUCCAAAACGAAAAAUGCUCAUGUUAUUUGAAUGAAUAGCAGUGUACUGAGAACGUCAACACCUCACGCAACGAAGUAUGACACCGAUCCAGUGGGACAAAUACGCUAAAAUGUUCUCAUCAACCUAAACGAUCGAAAACUUCUCCCGACCUUUGUGCCUAAUCGGAAUAAGUUGCCUGCGAACAAGUUCGAACCCGAUGAACAGCUUGCAGCAGCAGCAGCAGCAGCAACUUAAUCUUACGGAUAUUAUCGCCCGUCAAAGACCACAACUUAGAGCUCCGAGGAGAGCAGGUGGCAGUGCUCUAACGCUUCAACGUAUGAGAUGAUGAGAACCGCUACUGAUUCAUUCAUAUGUGGCCUGUUUGCGUGCGUGCGUGCGUGCGUGAGAAUGUCGAAUUAAGCACGAAAGCAUUGCCUUUACGGUCACAGUACGACGUUAUGCUGGCAGACCAGAUCGAAUCGUAUUGCGGAUCUGUGCAUGGAUUAAGCUGUUCAGUGACAACUACUGAUCUUCCCACAUUCCCAGAUCGUUAUUAGCGAUACAGUUCGCGUUGGCAUUCACAGACUACGUGCGCCGGCCGCUGUCAGGCGUCGACACCACACUUGCUUCGAGGAAGGUGGGUUGGCGUGUUAAUUGUCUUAAUAGAGAAAGACAACGGCGGACCUGCAACCCCAACUUGACGUUAGAACGUCGAACAUCCGACGCGACAGUUAAAAAUCCCUUUCCGCUUUCUAGCUGCAACGCGAGUCACG